rnacentral:rRNA from 1 species
CGUAGGUGGCGAGCGUUGUCCGGAAUUACUGGGUGUAAAGGGCGUGUAGGCGGGAAUGUAAGUCAGAUGUGAAAUGCCGAGGCUUAACCUCGGAGCUGCAUCUGAAACUGCGUUUCUUGAGUGUCGGAGAGGAAAGUGGAAUUCCCAGUGUAGCGGUGAAAUGCGUAGAUAUUGGGAGGAACACCAGUGGCGAAGGCGACUUUCUGGACGAUAACUGACGCUGAGGCGCGAAAGCGUGGGGAGCAAACAGGAUUAGAUACCCUGGUAGUCCACGCCGUAAACGAUGGAUACUAGGUGUGGGAGGUAUCGACCCCUUCCGUGCCGCAGUUAACACAAUAAGUAUCCCACCUGGGGAGUACGGCCGCAAGGUUG